GAAUAAUGUAACUGAACCUUUUCCUCGGAAUGAGAGUCCUCGUUCUUCUUUGUGUCGUGCUAUGUGGCAUUUGCGGUGGAAAUGCGGCUCCCGAUUCAUGUUGCGUUCAGGGCGUGUUACAGGAUGCAUACGCGAGGCCUGUAUCGGACAUGCAAGGGGGAAAACUGCCUGAAAUACAAAACUGAUAAAGUUCGACUACUGAUUGUUCGGGCGCAGAUCAUGGACGCAGAUUCAGAAAUGCAUGCAAAAAUAAUGGAAUGCAUGGACAAUCGCCGUCUUUUCUAUUUGAGUUUGAGAUGUUUUGUAUUUACGCAAGUAGGAUAACAAAAAAUUGAAUAUAGUUUAAGCAAAGGUUGUUGAGUUUUAAAAAUCGUUCUCGUUUUUAAUGACAUUUCUUUCGUCUUUUUUCAUGCGCCCAAAACUACAGGCGUAGUUCAGCGCAUAUUACAGGAUGUAUACUGUAACUGAAAAAGUUCACAAGUUAGGGGCGAAACUAACGAUGUCUUUGUGGCAGACGAUGUGAUGUUUUA